AAAGCGUGCGCAGGCGGAUUAUUAAGCAAGACGUGAAAGCCCCGGGCUUAACCUGGGAAUGGCGUUUUGAACUGGUAGUCUAGAGUGUGUCAGAGGGGGGUGGAAUUCCACGUGUAGCAGUGAAAUGCGUAGAUAUGUGGAGGAACACCAAUGGCGAAGGCAGCCCCCUGGGAUAACACUGACGCUCAUGUACGAAAGCGUGGGUAGCAAACAGGAUUAGAUACCCUGGUAGUCCACGCCCUAAACGAUGUCAACUGGUUGUUGGGGGAGUGAAAUCCCUUAGUAACGAAGCUAACGCGUGAAGUUGACCGCCUGGGGAGUACGGUCGCAAGAUUAAAACUCAAAGGAAUUGACGGGGACCCGCACAAGCGGUGGAUGAUGUGGAUUAAUUCGAUGCAACGCGAAAAACCUUACCUACCCUUGACAUGUCCAGAACCCUGCAGAGAUGCGGGGGUGCCCGAAAGGGAAUUGGAACACAGGUGCUGCAUGGCUGUCGUCAGCUCGUGUCGUGAGAUGUUGGGUUAAGUCCCGCAACGAGCGCAACCCUUAUCAUUAGUUGCUACGCAAGGGCACUCUAAUGAGACUGCCGGUGACAAACCGGAGGAAGGUGGGGAUGACGUCAAGUCCUCAUGGCCCUUAUGGGUAGGGCUUCACACGUCAUACAAUGGUCGGUACAGAGGGUUGCCAAGCCGCGAGGUGGAGCCAAUCCCAGAAAGCCGAUCGUAGUCCGGAUUGUUCUCUGCAACUCGAGAGCAUGAAGUCGGAAUCGC
rnacentral:rRNA from 1 species